UACGAAGGGGCUAGCGUUGCUCGGAAUCACUGGGCGUAAGGUGCGUAGGCGGGUCUUUAAGUCAGGGUGAAAUCCUGGAGCUCAACUCCAGAACUGCCUUUGAUACUGAAGAUCUUGAGUUCGGGAGAGGUGAGUGGAACUGCGAGUGUAGAGGUGAAAUUCGUAGAUAUUCGCAAGAACACCAGUGGCGAAGGCGGCUCACUGGCCCGAUACUGACGCUGAGGCACGAAGCGU
rnacentral:rRNA from 1 species